rnacentral:tRNA from 1 species
GGGGGUGUAGUUAAAUAAUUAACACUUAAUUUGCAAUUAAGAGAAGCUAAAUAAAUAAGCCUCCCUCA